rnacentral:rRNA from 1 species
GUUAAGUCCCGCAACGAGCGCAACCCUCGUCCUUAGUUGCCAUCAUUUGUUGGGCACUCUAAGGAAACUGCCGGUGAUAAGCCGGAGGAAGGUGGGGAUGACGUCAAGUCCUCAUGGCCCUUACACGCUGGGCUACACACGUGCUACAAUGGCGGUGACAGUGAGCAGCUAGAUCGCGAGAUCAUGCUAAUCUCCAAAAGCCGUCUCAGUUCGGAUUGCACUCUGCAACUCGAGUGCAUGAAGGCGGAAUCGCUAGUAAUCGCGGAUCAGCAUGCCGCGGUGAAUACGUUCCCAGGCCUUGUACACACCGCCCGUCACACCAUGGGAGUUGGAUUCACUCGAAGGCGUUGAGCCAACCCGCAAGGGAGGCAGGCGACCACAGUGGGUUUAGCGACUGGGGUGAAGUCGUAACAAGGUAGCCGUAGGGGAACC